rnacentral:rRNA from 1 species
AUGGAUAAAGCAUAUCCAUCAAAAACACCAAUGGUGGUUAGAUCUCUUGAUAGAGAUAAAGACCCAUUUAGACCUAAGGGUGAUGAUGAAGAGGUAUUAGGACCUGAGUUUCCUUACCUCAGUGCUAUUGGAGCACUAAUGUAUCUAGCGAACUGCACCAGGCCUGAUAUAUCAUUUGCAGUAAAUUUAUUGACUAUAUUCAGUGCAUCACCAACAAAGAGGCAUUGGGUUGGUGUGAAGAACAUUUUCAGAUAUCUUCAAGGCACCAAAGAUCUUGGUUUAUUUUAUCAGAAAAAUCAAGAUAAGACCAUGGUGGGAUAUUGUGAUGCUGGAUACCUAUCAGAUCCCCAUAAUACCAGAUCACAUACUGGUUUUGUCUUCUUGAGUGGAGGUACAACCUUUUCUUGGAAGUCGACAAAACAAACUCUGGUGGCUACGUCCACGAAUCAUUCUGAAAUUAUUGCUUUGUUUGAAGCAUCAUGUGAAUGUGCAUGGCUUCGCAGAAUGAUAAACUUUAUUGAAAGUACAAGUGGGGUUGGAUCAUUGAAAUCACCCACUAUUAUCUAUGAAGAUAAUGCUGCAUGUAUUACAUAG